AGUGAACGCUGGCGGUAGGCCUAACACAUGCAAGUCGAACGGCAGCACAGUAAGAGCUUGCUCUUACGGGUGGCGAGUGGCGGACGGGUGAGGAAUACAUCUGAAUCUACUUUUUCGUGGGGGAUAACGUAGGGAAACUUACGCUAAUACCGCAUACGACCUACGGGUGAAAGCAGGGGAUCUUCGGACCUUGCGCGAUUGAAUGAGCCGAUGUCGGAUUAGCUAGUUGGUGGGGUAAAGGCCCACCAAGGCGACGAUCCGUAGCUGGUCUGAGAGGAUGAUCAGCCACACUGGAACUGAGACACAGUCCAGACUCCUACGGGAGGCAGCAGUGGGGAAUAUUGGACAAUGGGCGCAAGCCUGAUCCAGCCAUACCGCGUGGGUGAAGAAGGCCUUCGGGUUGUAAAGCCCUUUUGUUGGGAAAGAAAAGCAGCAGGUUAAUACCCCGCUGUUCUGACGGUACCCAAAGAAUAAGCACCGGCUAACUUCGUG
rnacentral:rRNA from 1 species